rnacentral:misc_RNA from 1 species
CCAAAACCUAGCUGUCUGGCCGCAAGGCUCUGACGCUUCAACCCUUUGUGAACCAAAAAACCUUUCGCUUCGGCAGCGGCUCCGGUUGGAAACGACCUGGGCGUCAGCCUGCCGUUAGCACCAAACCUCAUAACUUGCAGUCAAAAACAUUGUCUGAUACCAAAUUUUCGAAUGAAAAUCA